UACAGAGGGUGCGAGCGUUGUCCGGAAUCACUGGGCGUAAAGGGCGCGUAGGUGGCGACCCAAGUCGAUGGUGAAAGCUCGCCGCUCAACGGCGAGUCGGCCACCGAUACUGGGUUGCUGGAGCACUGUAGAGGCUCAUGGAAUUCCGGGUGUAGCGGUGGAAUGCGUUGAGAUCCGGAAGAACACCGGUGGCGAAGGCGGUGAGCUGGGCAGUUGCUGACACUGAGGCGCGACAGCGUGGGGAGCAAACAGG
rnacentral:rRNA from 1 species